CUUGGAAUGAGUGCAAAAGAAAAAGAGAAAAAGAGAUUUUUUUUUUUUCUUCUUCUUUCUCCAAUUCGCGAAACCCCUCAUUCACUUCCAGUCGUCGAUCGUUCUUCUUCUCUGUGCCGCCACUCGACCGCACUAGCCGCGCCUCUUCGCCGAUCGUUGUUUCCAUUCAUCGACAGUGUUCCUAGCCGAAGCCGCCGUCGAGCACACACCAGAAGACAGAAAUCUGUCAUCGACCGCGCUCACCAAUAUUUUUCUUCCUUGUCCGCUGCUCGACCUUUGGUUUUGAUCGUUAGCUUCGACCGUGGGUCUCUAGCCAUGCAAGGGUUCCAGCCGCAAUGUGGACUUCCAGCCGCGCUGAGUUCUUCUUCCGCCUCUGUUCGUCCUCCGCAAGUCAGUUUUCCAUCGAUAGCCGAAGCCCAGCGCGCGUCAGAUUGCUCACCUUGUUCGAUCGUGCACCAGAACAGUGCUGGUUGUUGCCGAUUCGUGGAACGUGCGGCGGUGAAGGAAGUUGUCGAGCGGAGUAAGGUCUCGUUUUGAGGCAGUGCAUUAUCCUGAGGUAAGGGUAAUGAUAGACUGCCGCAUGACAAGAGAGAUCCGUGACCUGGCCCCAUUUUCUUUCUCUGUUUUUCAGGUAAGGGUAAUGAUAGACUGCCGCAUGACAAGAGAGAUCCGUGACCUGGCCAUUAGGACGAUUCACUGCUUCCGCAUCUAGUAUCAUGUUUUGAAAUUUGGUUUAGGAGUUAGGCGUCUUUCACUUUCAUGCAAAAUACAUCAAUUUUAUUAUUUGACUAUUUAAUUUUCUUCAUUUUUUAUUAAGUGGGGUUUAGGGGCACCCCGAAUAGUAAAUUAUUUUAUUUUAUUUUGCUUUAGUUUAUUUAUUAAUAUUUAAUCAUAUUUUCAUA